CUGGAAACAAUAGAUGCAACAUGGGAGCUUAAAGAAGAGAGAUGCUGGGAAGCCAUCAUACUUUUCCUGGCUGUUCCAUAUCACCUUACUCUGUUUGGAGAGAUGGUGGUCCAUCCCUACUAAGUGACAGUUUCUCUUUGCAGUCAAUGUGCCAGACCCCAAGAUACCAGAGGUUGUGCUUGGGGUCCUUCCCUUGCUGAGAAGAUAAAGUGGCAACUCUUAUGAAAUCCCACCCUUGCUUCUCCAGCUGAACGGAUACAUUCUUUCCACACACUCAGAACAUCAGCUUGCAAGAAAUGAUGAAGCUUAGUGUAGAAUCAUGGACAACCACUGAACUCAGGUAGUCACCAGCAAAACACAGGAAACGUGAGUGUUGGGCUGGUGAAGCUGUGAGCCCCACAGCGGUGGCUGUACUGGGACCCUUGCAAGUCAGCUCAGUCUCUUCAGUCUCUACAAAAAGAAUGUAUGGAAAAAUGAUAGAUGCAGAGCACAAAAAGCAUAUAAGCUGAAGUGUGUGAUCCGUGUGGUAAUGUCACAAAAUCAGUCAUCCAAUGUUUUAACUGUAACCCGAAAUGGUAUCUAAAAUAUACCUAGACACCAAAGAUUCCGUAGAAACGGGACUCAGUG
rnacentral:lncRNA from 1 species